rnacentral:rRNA from 1 species
GUGAGCGCAGUGCGGGCGGGCGCGGUGAUACGUAGGGGGGAAGCGUGAAGGGGAGUGACUGGGCGUAAAGCGCACGAAGGCAGGUGGAUAAGUUAGGGGUGAAAGGACCGGGGUCGACCUGGGAAUUGAAUUUAAAACGGUCCAGGUAGAGGCGUGUAGAGGGGGGUAGGAUUGCAGGUGUAGCGGUGAAAUGCGAAGAGAUCUGGAGGAAUACCGGUGGCGAAGGCGGCCCCCUGGACAAAGACUGACGGUCAGGUGCGAAAGCGUGGGGAGCAAACAGGAUUAGAUACCCGAGUAGUC